rnacentral:lncRNA from 1 species
GGUGCGUAGAGCCACGCUGCACAAAGCAUCCAUUUCGUUUCAACUAUCAAGCCUAAGGACCUAUUUUCUAUCAACCCUGUAUACCUCAGUUAUCUUCUAAUAUCCCAACCCGUGUGUACGUAGCUUUCCAAACAAAAAUAAAAUCUCAUGAUAUGCCGCCCAUUUGUUUUGUGCAUGACUGGUUGCACAUAGCAUUUCAUUUGAACUGAUGCACAUAUAUAUAGGUAAGCACUGCCUAGAUUAAUUUAUAGACCAAAAUAAUGGGUUUAUACCGUUAUAGUCGAUCAUGACUCUGCUACUCUUCAAAUUAAUUGCCAACCAUUAACAUUACUUGUGCCUUUAUAGAAGUUGGUCCGUCAAUAUUCGCCACUCAUCAACACUGCAUGCCUCAAGUUGUUUUCAUUCACAGCAAGUAACUAGGUGUCAUACAUACAAGAUGGAGUUGCAUACUCCUUGAGCAGCUAAUUGACAUGAAACGUAACCGGGGUGUUUCCUUUCAAGAUAAAAGUCACCUAGUAUUUCUUAGAUACAAGGGCCACACCUUCAUUAAAAUUAAAAAAAAUGAUUAUAAUUAACUCGGUUUUGUCGCACUUCAUUAAUAUGAGUUUCUUGUUGUUUACUUAACAUUAAGCAUGACAAAAGUUGGCUUAAAAAGAAUGAGUAAAGGGAAAUAUAUGUGCGGAAAACGAAUAUGAUCGAUGCACUAGUUACCCCCGAUCUCAAAAUCUUUCCGGGCUUUAUUUAUAGAACUGGGCAAAUAUUAGCUUAAAGUUCCAUCCAAAAUAUAUACUUGCUCCGGCUGUUUCUUAAUAAAAAAUUAAAGAAGCACGAAUGCAUAAUUAUGAUCAACACUUCAGGUCAUGUCGUUGGCGAGUUCAGCACCACAGAACAAGAACAUGCUCUAUCAUACGGUGCUAAACUACAUCCGUGAUGAUAUCUGCCUCUUUUGUGAGGCUUGGGAGAUUUAGCAAAAAAAAAAAGGAAAAAAAGAGAGAGAUGGCCGUCGCAUGAAGGAUGAAAGAAGAUGGCCUCCGUUCAAUGUUUAUAACUUAUUUUUCAAUAAAACCAUCGUUGCUCCAGAGAAUUUACAGGAGCCUCGGAGGCUGGCUUCCUUUUCAGCAAAAAUGGAUACGUCAAAAAGCUUAAAAUCACUACUAUUUCCUUUUCAGCAAAAAUGGAUAUGUCUAGAAGCAUAAAGGCACCACGAAGACACCGUGAGUCCUCGUGCUUCCUCCUGCUACACCAUUCCUAGAUCAAGGACCUCAGAUCAAGAACUGUGUAUGGAAGAACGAAAUCACUCCAGAGCAGGUCCUCUGAUAGAUUCAGCCAGGUUCGACUCAACGCUAUCUGGACACACGCACACACGCGAUGAACUGGGAGGAGGAAACACACAGAGAACUCACGACACAGGACUC